rnacentral:rRNA from 1 species
ACUCCUACGGGAGGCAGCAGUAGGAAUAUUGGUCAAUGGGUGAGAGCCUGAACCAGCCAUGCCGCGUGCAGGAAGACGGCCUUCUGGGUUGUAAACUGCUUUUACCAGGGGAUGAAAAGAACCAUGCGUGGUUAAUUGAAUGGAUACCUGGAGAAUAAGCACCGGCUAACUACGUGCCAGCAGCCGCGGUAAUACGUAGGGUGCAAGCGUUGUCCGGAUUUAUUGGGUUUAAAGGUGCGUAGGCGGGCUAUUAAGUCAGUGGUGAAAUCCAGCAGCUUAACUGUUGAUGUGCCAUUGAUACUGGUAGUCUUGAGUACAGAUGAGGUAGGCGGAAUUGACAGUGUAGCGGUGAAAUGCAUAGAUAUUGUCAAGAACUCCGAUAGCGAAGGCAGCUUACUGGGCUGUAACUGACGCUGAUGCACGAAAGUGUGGGGA